UUGAUUUUUUAUACGAAGAUCUACAGGAUCCACUUUCAUUAUUCUACAUGUGGCUUGCCAAUUAUCCCAGCAUAAUUGGUUGAAUAGUGUCUCCUUUCCAAACUUUAUAUUUUUGUUUGCUUUGUUGAAGAUCAGUCAGCUGUAAGUAGUUGGCUUUAUUCUUGGGUUCUCUAUUCUGUUCUAUUGUUCUAGAUGACUAUUUUUAUACCAGUACCAUGCUAUUUUGGUGACUAUGGCCUUAUAGUAGAGUUUGAAGUCAGAUGAUGUGAUGCCUCCAGAUAUAUUCUUUUUGGUUAGUCUUAUUUUGGCUAUGUGGGAUCUUUUUUGGUUCCCUAUGAAUUUUAGGAUUGUUUUUUGCAGUUCUGUGAAGAACGAUGAUGAUAUUUUG